CACUCGACGUGAGGAAGGAAAGUGUCCUGAGGAUGGGAGGGAAGCAGAAAAAGCUGAUCUCGAUCAAUGACAACCUGAAACAUCCCAUCCGAGAAGGAGGAGAAAUCAGAAGAUAUGAGUGUUCACUGGUUUAUGAAUCCAAGGUGGAGAGGAAAACAGACAUUAAAUUAACUGGGCAUAGUAUGAAGCUACUUAAGAUUAACAGGCUGGAAGAGAUCAAUACACGAUACAA